GUUUAGACACAUAGCUCUAUUCCAGGUAUCCCUAUACUCAGCUAAAAACUCUGUUGCUAUGAUAAAAGGGGACACAAAAAUGAAUAGAUUAUGGUCUCCAUGUUCAAAGAAUUCAUAAAGAGCACACAAAGUGGAAACUACCAUACAUAGUUGCAGAGGUGACACAGGAAACUCAAAGUGAGCUUCCCUUGCAGUUCAGCUGAA
rnacentral:lncRNA from 1 species